rnacentral:rRNA from 1 species
GACGAACGCUGGCGGCGUGCUUAACACAUGCAAGUCGAACGGAAAGGCCUCUUUCGGGGGGUACUCGAGUGGCGAACGGGUGAGUAACACGUGAGUAACCUGCCCUUGACUUUGGGAUAACUUCAGGAAACUGGGGCUAAUACCGGAUAGGAGCUCCUGCUGCAUGGUGGGGGUUGGAAAGUUUCGGCGGUUGGGGAUGGACUCGCGGCUUAUCAGCUUGUUGGUGGGGUAGUGGCUUACCAAGGCUUUGACGGGUAGCCGGACUGAGAGGGUGACCGGCCACAUUGGGACUGAGAUACGGCCCAGACUCCUACGGGAGGCAGCAGUGGGGAAUAUUGCACAAUGGGUGGAAGCCUGAUGCAGCAACGCCGUGUGCGGGAUGACGGCCUUCGGGUUGUAAAACGCUUUCGCUCAUGACGAAGCUUUGUGUGACGGUAGUGGGUAAAGAAGCACCGGCUAACUACGUG